rnacentral:rRNA from 1 species
AUACGAAAGGUGCAAGCGUUGUUCGGAUUUACUGGGCGUAAAGAGAGUGUAGGUUGUUUAUUAAGUCGGAUGCGAAAUCCCGGGGCUCAACCUCGGAACUGCAUUCGAUACUGGUAGACUAGAGUUCGGGAGGGGUAAGCGGAAUUCCGUGUGUAGCAGUGAAAUGCGUAGAUAUACGGAGGAACACCUGAGGCGAAGGCGGCUUACUGGACCGAUACUGACACUGAGACUCGAAAGCGUGGGUAGCAAACAGGAUUAGAAACCCUAGUAGUCC